GACGAACGCUGGCGGCGUGCUUAACACAUGCAAGUCGAACGGUAAGGCCCUUCGGGGUACACGAGUGGCGAACGGGUGAGUAACACGUGGGUGAUCUGCCCUGCACUUCGGGAUAAGCCUGGGAAACUGGGUCUAAUACCGGAUAGGACCACUGCCUGCAUGGGUGGUGGUGGAAAGCUUUUGCGGUGUGGGAGGGGCCCGCGGCCUAUCAGCUUGUUGGUGGGGUGAUGGCCUACCAAGGCGACGACGGGUAGCCGGCCUGAGAGGGUGACCGGCCACACUGGGACUGAGAUACGGCCCAGACUCCUACGGGAGGAAGCAGUGGGGAAUAUUGCAUAAUGGGCGCAAGCCUGAUGCAGCGACGCCGCGUGAGGGAUGACGGCCUUCGGGUUGUAAACCUCUUUCAGCACCGACGAAGCGCAAGUGACGGUAGGUGCAGAAGAAGGACCGGCCAACUACGUGCCAGCCGCCGCAGUAA
rnacentral:rRNA from 1 species